UUUACGACGAAUUUUAAAAACACUUCGUCGUAAACUACUCGUAAAAAGAAAACGUGGACCUUGUUAUUUCCUCGUAAAUUUACAUAGAUUUUACGACGAAAUUAAAAAUGCAUGUGUUUAGUUUGUUCAAUCAUGAUAAUUAAAUUAUAUAAUUUGAGUUUGUGUAAGGCAAUUGGGGGUUUAGGGUUUGGAAAGAAGAGAUUGAAAUUAUAAGUUAAGGAACUUGGGGUUUCGGGUUAUAGGGAUUUACAUAUCUUUCUCGUAAAAUUCACAGGCUUUGUUAUUUUCUCGUAAAUUAACGAGGUCUUUACGACAAAAUUUAAAAACACUUCGUCGUAAACUACUCGUAAAAAGAAAACGCGGACCUUAUUAUUUCCUCUUAAAUUUACAUGGAUUUUACGACGAAAAUUAAAAAUGCAUGUGUUUAAUUUGUUUAAUCAUGAAAAUUAAAUUACAUAAUUUGAUUUUGUGUAAGGAAAUUGGGGGUUUGGGGUUUGGAGAGAAGAUAUUGAGAUUAUAAGUUAAGGAACUUGGGGUUUGGGGUUUCGAGUUAUAGGGAUUUACAUAUCUUCUUCGUAAAAUCCCCGUAAAAAAAACACGGGCUUUGUUAUUUUUCUCGUAAAUUAAAGAGGUCUUUUUGACAUAAUUUAAAAACACUUUGUCGUAAACUCUUCGUAAAAAGAAAACGUGGACCUUGUUAUUUUCUCGUAAAUUUACGUGGAUUUUACGACAAAAAUUAAAAAAUACAUGUGUUUAGUUUGUUUAAUCAUGAUAAUUAAAUUAUAUAAUUUGAUUUUGUGUAAGGCAAUUGGGAGUUUGGGGUUUGGAAAGAAGAGAUUGAGAUUAUAAGUUUAGGAACUUGGGGUUUGGUGUUUCGGGUUAUAGGGAUUUACAUAUCUUCCUCGUAAGAAAAACACAGGUCUUGUUAUUUUCUCGUAAAUUAACGAGAUCUUUACAACGAAAUUUAAAAACACUUUGUCUUAAACUACUCGUAAAAAGAAAACGCGGACCUUGUUAUUUAUGACGAAAAUUAAAAAUGCAUGUGUUUAGUUUGUUUAAUCAUGAUAAUUAAAUUAUAUAAUUUGAUUUUGUGUAAGGCAAUUGGGGGUUUGGGGUUUGGAAACAAGAGAUUGAGAUUAUAAGUUAAGGAACUUGGGGUUUGGGGUUUUGUGUUAUAGGGAUUUACAUAUAUUCCUCAUAAAAUCCUCGUAAAAAACGGUCUUUGUUAUUUCUUCGUAA
rnacentral:lncRNA from 1 species